UCUGACCUCAAAUCAGGUAGGACUACCCGCUGAACUUA
rnacentral:rRNA from 1 species